ACGGCCCCAUCUGGCCUCGGCACCACCCCCCUCACCACUCCCCAGCCCCCACUUCUCUUGAACACCAAACUUAUGUUUUCUUCUUUCCCCGGGAAGGUAGCGGGGAAGCUGAAAGCCAGCCUUGGAGGAGACUCCGCAAAGGGUAGGUCAGACACCCCUUUGGACGGAGAUUUCGUGCGUAAAAGCCGCGUCUGAGGCAGGGCUGCGGACCAGCGCUCUUCCGAGAAAACGGGAAGAAGGCUGUUUUGCUUCGCUUGAAACCGACCGAAUCUCAAAGCCAUUCGGCCUACCCAGGACCCAGACGAAAAAUGAAGACAUGCCCAUAAAGAGAGAUGUACAAUAAUGCUCUCGCGGCUUUGCUCAUAAUCACCCCAAGCUGAAAACAACCCAAAUGCCCAUUAACAGGAGGUGAAUAUAUGAAUUGUGGACAUGUAUACAACGGAAUUCUGCAUGACCAUCAAGAAGGGUAAGCUACCACUGGGUACCAGAGCAUGUGUGGAUCUCACAGACGCGAUGUCACAGCUAAGGAAGCCAGAAGUAUAUACCGAGGAGUUAAAGUUCAAGAACAGAUUCCCUGACAGGCAUGAUGGGUCUGGGACGAUUCUCUGAUCUGCCUGAUGGCUCAACAGACUUUCCUCCGCCAGGACCAGAUGGAUCAGGGAAGCUUUCAGCCUUGUUCCCACAUGGAACUCCUCUCAUUGCCCUCGUCCUUCCCCUGCAGGGAGGGCCUCAGAAGGACAGGGCCUUGCCUGUCCCCAGGGGCCUGGUGACGCCUGCAGAAUGGCGGGCUCUCACUGUUGGAGAGAGGACUCCAAGGAGCUGCCCCUCGUAGCCUACAAGACCCAGAGCGAAGAAAAGUGGGGGUUUUUCUCUUUGGUAACCCAGGUACUCCUGCCAGGCUCCUUCCUGUGCGGUGGCCUUGCUGCUAGGAUGAAUGGGACCCUCGCUCUGCCCAGCAGCCACCGCAGUUGUGAUGGUUAGAUCCUUGGAGUCCCUGUUCUGUACAGUCAAGCAUUGGGCAUAGAGCAGUGACUAAACAGCCCUCGUGUCUGCCACACGGAGCUUCCAGUCUAUUGGGGGAGACAGCCUCAGUCAAAUACACGGAGCACGUGUGAUGUAGGAGGGAAGCUAUUAAGAAACAGCCCACGUCCUGCUAUGCGGCGCUAACCUGAAGAAUUUCACCUGCCCACUGGCUGCACGACGUUGAACAAGACAACUAACCAACCACUCAGCACAUGUUUGUCGUCUGAAAAGUAGUAUCAGUCACAGAUCACUUCCAGGGAAUGAAUCGGGACCACCACGGCUGGCCAGAUGACCGAAACCCGCUGCCAGCCACAGCCUGGCAUGGCUGCCUUUGAAAUGCGGACACCCCUUCCCUAAUCCCGGGCUCCCAUCCCUAAGCCUGCCACAAACCCUAACCCAGACCUUUCUUUCUGGGAGGUGGGAUUGGUGAUGGUGGCAAAUUACACCUAUCUGCGCUGUUCCAGCAUUGGUUACCAUAAAUGUGUUAUUUUUAUAAAAAUACCAAUUUAAUUUUGUAUUAAAUCAUCU